rnacentral:rRNA from 1 species
UCUCUGGUUGAUCCUGCCAGAGGUCACUGCUAUUGGGAUUCGACUAAGCCAUGCGAGUCGUGAGGGUUCGGCCCUCGGCGAACGGCUCAGUAACACGUAGAUAAUUUGCCCUUAGGUGGAGGAUACCCUCGGGAAACUGAGAAUAAUACUCCAUAGAUUUAGAAUGCUGGAAUGCUUUUAAAUCAAAAGAUUUAUCGCCUAAGGAUAAGUCUGCGGACUAUCAGGUCGUAGUCAGGGUAAAUACCUGACUAGCCUACGACGGAUACGGGUUGUGAGAGCACUAGCCCGGAGAUGAUAUCUGAGACACGAUAUCAGGCCCUACGGGGCGCAGCAGGCGCGAAAACUUCGCACUGUGCGAAAGCACGACGAGGGGAUCCCAAGUGCUGGCUCGUAAGAGUCAGCUGUUUCUUUGUCUAAAAAACAGAGAGAGUAAGAGCUGGGUAAGACGGGUGCCAGCCGCCGCGGUAAUACCAGCGGCCCUAGUGGUGAUCGUUAUUAUUGGGCCUAAAGCGUCCGUAGCCGGUUCGGUAAAUCUCUGGGUAAAUCGUUGGGCUUAACUCAACGAAUUCUGGGGAGACUGCCGAACUUGGGACCGGAAGAGGUCGGAGGUACUCCAGGGGUAGGGGUGAAAUCCUGUAAUCCUUGGGGGACCACCGGUGGCGAAGGCGUCCGACCAGAACGGGUCCGACGGUAAGGGACGAAGCCCUGGGGCGCGAACCGGAUUAGAUACCCGGGUAGUCCAGGGUGUAAACGCUGUGCGCUUGGUGUUGGGGGUCCUUCGUGGGCACCCAGUGCCGGAGAGAAGUUGUUAAGCGCACCGCCUGGGGAGUACGGUCGCAAGACUGAAACUUAAAGGAAUUGGCGGG